AGUAUGUAUACUGUUUUGUAUGUAUUAUAUGAAUAAGGAUCGGCUAACUCCGUGCCAGCAGCCGCGGUAAUACGGAGGAUCCGAGCGUUAUCCGGAUUUAUUGGGUUUAAAGGGAGCGUAGGUGGACUGGUAAGUCAGUUGUGAAAGUUUGCGGCUCAACCGUAAAAUUGCAGUUGAUACUGUCAGUCUUGAGUACAGUAGAGGUGGGCGGAAUUCGUGGUGUAGCGGUGAAAUGCUUAGAUAUCACGAAGAACUCCGAUUGCGAAGGCAGCUCACUGGACUGCAACUGACACUGAUGCUCGAAAGUGUGGGUAUCAAACAGGAUUAGAUACCCUGGUAGUCCACACAGUAAACGAUGAAUACUCGCUGUUUGCGAUAUACAGUAAGCGGCCAAGCGAAAGCAUUAAGUAUUCCACCUGGGGAGUACGCCGGCAACGGUGAAACUCAAAGGAAUUGACGGGGGCCCGCACAAGCGGAGGAACAUGUGGUUUAAUUCGAUGAUACGCGAGGAACCUUACCCGGGCUUAAAUUGCAGUGGAAUGAUGUGGAAACAUGUCAGUGAGCAAUCACCGCUGUGAAGGUGCUGCAUGGUUGUCGUCAGCUCGUGCCGUGAGGUGUCGGCUUAAGUGCCAUAACGAGCGCAACCCUUAUCUUCAGUUACUAACAGGUCAUGCUGAGGACUCUGGAGAGACUGCCGUCGUAAGAUGUGAGGAAGGUGGGGAUGACGUCAAAUCAGCACGGCCCUUACGUCCGGGGCUACACACGUGUUACAAUGGGGGGUACAGAAGGCAGCUAGCGGGUGACCGUAUGCUAAUCCCAAAAUCCUCUCUCAGUUCGGAUCGAAGUCUGCAACCCGACUUCGUGAAGCUGGAUUCGCUAGUAAUCGCGCAUCAGCCACGGCGCGGUGAAUACGUUCCCGGGCCUUGUACACACCGCCCGUCAAGCCAUGGGAGCCGGGGGUACCUGAAGUACGUAACCGCAAGGAUCGUCCUAGGGUAAAACUGGUGACUGGGGCUAAGUCGUAACAAGGUAGCCGUACCGGAAGGUGCGGCUG
rnacentral:rRNA from 1 species